AGUGAACGCUGGCGGUAGGCCUAACACAUGCAAGUCGAACGGCAGCACAGUAAGAGCUUGCUCUGACGGGUGGCGAGUGGCGGGCGGGUGAGGAAUAUAUCGUAAUCUACUUUUUCGUGGGAGAUAACGUAGGUAAACUUACGCUAAUACCGCAUACGACCUACGGGGGAAAGCAGGGGAUCUUCGGGCCUGGCGCGAUUGAAUGAGCCGAUGUCGGAUUAGCUAGUUGGCGGGGUAAAGGCCCACGAAGGCGGCGAUCCGUAGCUGGUCUGAGAGGAUGGUCGGCCACACUGGAACUGGGCCGCGGUCCAUAGUCCUACGGGACGCAGCAGUGGGGAAUAUUAGGCAGUGGGCGCAAACCUGGUCCGGCCAUACCGCGUCGGAGACGGAGGCGUUCGGGUUGUAAUGCCCUUUUGUUGGGAGAGAAAAGCAGCAGCUUAAUACCCAGCUGUUCUGACGGUACCCAAAGAAUAAGCACCGGCUAACUUCGUG
rnacentral:rRNA from 1 species